rnacentral:misc_RNA from 1 species
UCGGCUCUCCGCCCACUGUGAACAUACCUACCUUCCCCCGGCGGGCCAAGCGCGCGGCGGCUCCGGCCGCCCGCGUCCGCCGAGGGCAUCUCAAACCCGAAUUUAUUGGUGUCUUCUGAGGGGCGAAAGCCCGUAAAACAAAAUGAAUCAAAACUUUCAACAACGGAUCUCUUGGCUCUGGCAUCGAUGAACAACGCAGGGUGUGCGAUAAGUAAUGUGAAUUGCAGAAUUCAGUGAAUCAUCGAAUCUUUGAACGCACAUUGCGCCCGCCAGUACUCUGGCGGGCAUGCCUGUCCGAGCGUCAUUUCAACCCUCGGGACCCCCCUCCGGGGCGGGACCCGGCGCUGGGGAUCGGAGGCCGCACCGGCCCCAGUCCCCCAAAUACAGUGGCGGUCGCGCCGCAGCCUCCCCUGCGUAGUAGCACACCUCGCACCGGAGAGCGGCUCGGCCACGCCGUGAAACACCCCACUUUACCAAGGUUGACCUCGGAUCAGGUAGGAAUACCCGCUGAACUUAA